GAAGAAGAAAGACAAUUAACCAAGAAUGCUCAGAAAAACCUUGCUACAAGGCCAGCAAAAGUGAAGACCAACACUUUGCACUGACAUUUAAUGAAGUGGUUGCCUCUAAAAACAAGACACAAGUGUGGAGAUCCAAGAGCUCAGAGAUUUGAUGGCCUCGACAAAAGUGAGCGUGGAAACUGCAACCUCGCCCUGCCCCCUGCCUGCAGAUCAGGGAGGAACAAGAAUGUUCUGUGGGACUAAAUCUGACUUGGGAGAUUUUCUUGGGGAUCUCCCCAGUCUCCCAUAUAUCAUCAUAGUGGAACCACUUAAGCCAUUUCAAAUGCUAUCUAUUUCAUUUUUAAUUCACUCAGCCCCUGUCUUUGAGAACUUCCUGUGUGCCAGGUGCUGUGCCAGUGCGUGUUUGUGGGGAGGGCAUGUGCCUCCUCAUCCGCCAGACCCUGAGCCUCCCCGAUGCUCCUGAUGCUGUGAGUGCGAGACCUGUACACUGAAACCACCACACUGCCGAGGGAACCCAGUGAAGACUGAACAAAUGGAAAGCGAGGCCGUGUUCAUGGACUGGACAACGCAGUAUUAUCAAGUUGCAGGCCCUUCUGGUUGUGCUAUGUGGGAUGCCACAUCAGCAUGACUUGAUGAGCAGUGCCAUGUCCGCGCCCAGGAACUGAAUCGGCGAAACCCGGGGCUGCCGAAGCGGAGUGCGAACUUGACCACUCGGCCAAGAAGCCGGCCCCAAGAGUAUUUUUUUAAGGGUAGGAUUAAUAAAAAGUUGUUCAAGGUUGAUAUUAAUGAUCCAGACAAGGGGGAAAGUGAUGCUGUAGGGGUUGGAAGGGAUCCUUGCUAACGCACUGUCCUCGAGGCAGUGGGCUUAUCCAUUGUGUGAGGGGGUAGAGAACCAUGGCAUCACUGCAGACAGAUGGGGAGGUGGCAGUGCUAAAUUCAGUGGCCCAGGGGUCCCAUUGAGGCUGGGACUUUUCACAGAGCGGCACUACUGGGCAGAGCGCAGCAGGAUCUGGAACAUCUCCACCCUCCACUCCCACUUUACCUGCCUUCCAGGC
rnacentral:lncRNA from 1 species